ACGGGUGAGUAACGCGUAGGAAUCUACCUAGUAGUGGGGGACAACGUCUCGAAAGGGACGCUAAUACCGCAUACGCCCUACGGGGGAAAGGGGGGAUCUUCGGACCUCUCGCUAUUAGAUGAGCCUGCGUCGGUUUAGCUAGUUGGUGGGGUAAAGGCCUACCAAGGCGACGAUCCGUAGCUGGUCUGAGAGGAUGAUCAGCCACACCGGAACUGAGACACGGUCCGGACUCCUACGGGAGGCAGCAGUGGGGAAUAUUGGACAAUGGGGGCAACCCUGAUCCAGCCAUGCCGCGUGUGUGAAGAAGGCCUUCGGGUUGUAAAGCACUUUAGGGGGGGAGGAAGGUCCCAAGGCGAAUACCUUUGGGAAUUGACGUUACCCCCAGAAUAAGCACCGGCUAACUCCGUGCCAGCAGCCGCGGUAAUACGGAGGGUGCAAGCGUUAAUCGGAAUUACUGGGCGUAAAGCGCGCGUAGGCGGUUAGGUAAGUCGAUUGUGAAAUCCCCGGGCUCAACCUGGGAAUUGCAGUCGAGACUGUCUGACUAGAGUGUAGGAGAGGGUGGUGGAAUUCCCGGUGUAGCGGUGAAAUGCGUA
rnacentral:rRNA from 1 species